AUUGAAGCAGAGGGUGUGGAGAAGUAUCGCUUACAAGUUUGCUUUCCAGGCUCAUGGUUUACCUGGUUUCUUAUAAAACGCAGAACCACCUGUCCAGGUGUGGCAUUGUCCACAGGAGGUUGAAUCCUCUCAUAUCAGUCACUAAUCAAGAAAAUGCCCCACAGAUACACCUGUAGUCCAAUUUGGUGGAGUCAUCUUAUCAAUUGAAUUGUCCCUAUUCUCAGACAACUCUAGCUUGCAUUGAGACCUCCCCUCAAAACAAAACAAAAAUCAGCAUAAAGGACAACCCCCAACCUCAAACUAAAUCUGACAGGGUUUUUGUCAAAUCUGUUCAUCUUUGUUUUUGGGCGUCCAUGUUUAUCUCUUUAUCUCAGUAGAAUUUUAACUGAUCAAUACCUGGUUUAAAUGAGAAGUAGGGUCUUUCAGAAACGGACUUCUGAAACCCAGGAGGUAGAAGCAGGUGGACCUUUGUUAGUUUGAGGCCAACCAGGGCUACAUUGGUGAGACCCUGACACAGGAAAAAGAAAAAAGGCUGGAGAGAUGGCUUAGUGGUUAAGAGCACUGGCUGCUCUUCCAAAGGAUCCAGGUUCAAUUCCCAGCACUCACAGGGCAGCUCACAGCUAUCUGUAACUCCAGUUAUAAGGAUCUGAUGCCUGCUUCUGACCUUUACAGGUACUACAUGGUGUAGUGCAUUGGCAUACAUGCAGGCAAAAUACUCAUACACAUGAAAUAAAAAUAAAUUCUUUUCUUUUUAAUAUAUAAAGAAACUUCUGGAAGCACAAGACCUGCAUACUACUGGGCCCAUUUGGUUUUGUUUUUUGUUUUUCCAGUAGUAGGGCUUAUAAGAUCCCCACCUCUCCUGAGGGUGUGUAGGCAGUUAAUGGUGGUUGGGGGUGGGAGAGUCAUUUUGUCCAGUGUUGUGACCACUGGUACGGGGUCAGGUACAUAACCAUACCCAUGCCCUUCUAAGCAUUAAAAUGAACAUAGAUGCGAAAGUAGAAGAGGCAGAUGGGAAAGGGGAUCAGUGAACAGGGAAGGGGGACAGGAAGGGGAUGAUGGAGGAUAGAAAUAUAAUCUACAGUUUGUGCGUGUAUGGAAAUGUCAUAGUGAAACUCAUGAUUAUAUACAAUAAUCUAUGUUAAUAAAAACUUUAAACAUACAGACUUCCGAGAGCUGCUGGUCGUAUCUUGGACUGGGCUCUGAGAUGGCCCACUGCUGUUGCUCUUGCAGAUAUCCUGGGGAAUGCAUAUCUUUCUCUUUAUUUCAAUACUGGCCAGAACCCUAAGAUCUCCCAGCAAGCCCUCAGUGCCUAUGCUCAAGCAGUAAGUACUUGCAAUCACCCAGGGUGGAAGUAGAGGCAACAACGGAAUCAGGAGCCUUUGUCCUUCCUGCGUUCCUUUAGCGAGUAGUGCCAGCAGACGUUGCUGGCACCUCGCAUGUCUGCAGAGCUGACUUAGAAGAUAUUAGGGACGGUGCCUUGGUGACAGAUAACUCCUUGAGUGUCUCAGUUUCUUACAGCCGUGUAUAAUGAGAUUGUGGAGCCACUCUUGCUCGUCUUUUUUUAGUAGGGCAAAAAAAAAACAAAACAAAACCCCAAAACCCAAAAAAAACCCCAGUAAAAUAAUACUUGUAUAGCUUUGACAAAUGAAAGCUCUGGAAAUUAAAUAGUGCUAGAUUAAGUAGUUACAGCAAAUUAUGUAUGUAUUUAUUUCAUAAGCAAGGUAUCACAAUGAAGCCAAAGGUAAAUCACAGGACACGGCCCUGGCUCUCCCACGGCUGGGCAUCGAUGCACAGUUUCUUCCAGGAACUCGCAUGUUGUAAGCCAUGUUUCUAUAGAGACACUUGCUUGGGGCUUGGCUUCCCAAGGCUCCGGGUGCCUGCCUGCCUGCCUGUUGUUAGAGAGCUCUGAGUAGCUUUCUGGAUGACGUUUAUGUAGCCUUCAUUUUCAUCUCUAUUCUUUGCUUUCAGACUUCUUUGACACAGUAGCCUGCUUUUAUACUUACUGUUGCUCACUGUGCCUCCUGGCAGAGCAAGAAAGCAGCUGUUGUAUAUUCAUUCUUGGGGUUCAGAGCCUGCCCAGAGGGCAGAGGAAUUGUAUUUUUCCCAAUUAUGUAUUUAUUUAUUUUAUAAACAGAGUCUCACUGUUUACAAGGCACAGACUGGCCUCGAACUUGAGGUCUCCCAUCUGUGCCUUCUGAGAGUUGGUAUUGUAGGCAUGCCUGCUUUUUACUCCGGCUUUUACACUUUGUGAAUGUUCCCAUUUAAAAGAAUGUCUUCAAAAUCCUGUACUUGUCUUCUGCCACAUAGUUGUUAACUUUUUUUUUUUUUCUUCAAACUAGGACACCUAUCAACUGGCAGCCAAGCCUUUUUUUUUUUAAUAGAUUUAUUUAUUAUUAUAUCUAAGUACAUUGUAGCUGUCUUCAGAUGCACCAGAAGAGGGCAUCAGAUCUCAUUACAGAUGGUUGUGAGCCACCAUGUGGUUGCUGGGAUUUGAACUCAGGACCUUCGGAAGAGCAUUUGGUUCUCUUAACCACUGAGCCAUCUCUCCAGCCCAGUUGUUAACUCUUAGUUUCCUCUUCUGCAUGUG
rnacentral:lncRNA from 1 species